CUUGUGCCAAGCAGCCGCGGUAAUUCCAGCUCCAAUAGCGUAUAUUAAAGUUGUUGCGGUUAAAAAGCUCGUAGUUGGAUCUCGGCGGGCAGGGGGUGGUUCGCUCUUCAGCGCUACUGCCCCGCUUUGCCCGUGUGAUUGGCGGAGGUUUCGGGGUGCUCUUCGUUGAGUGACUCGGAGCGCCGUCAGGUUUACUUUGAAAAAAUUAGAGUGCUCAAAGCAGGCUUUUCACGCUUGAAUAUUCGUGCAUGGAAUAAUGGAAUAGGAACUCGUUUCUAUUUUGUUGGUUUUCGGAAAUCGAGUUAAUGAUUAACAGGGACAAUUGGGGGCAUUAGUAUUCAGACGACAGAGGUGAAAUUCUUGGACCGUCUGAAGACUGACUACUGCGAAAGCAUUUGCCAAGAGUGUUUUCAUUAAUCAAGAACGAAAGUUAGAGGUUCGAAGGCGAUCAGAUACCGCCCUAGUUCUAACCAUAAACGAUGCCAGCUAGCGAUCUGCCGAGUUUUUUUUGUAGGCUCCGCAGGAAGCUUUCGGGAAACCAAAGCUUUUGGGUUCCGGGGGAAGUAUGGUUGCAAAGCUGAAACUUAAAGGAAUUGACGGAAGGGCACCACCAGGAGUGGAGCCUGCGGCUUAAUUUGACUCAACACGGGAAAUCUCACCAGGCCCGGACACUGGAAGGAUUGACAGAUUGAGAGCUCUUUCUCGAUUCGGUGGGUGGUGGUGCAUGGUCGUUCUUAGUUGGUGGAGUGAUUUGUCUGGUUAAUUCCGAUAACGAACGAGACUCUGUCCUGCUAAAUAGUUGGGUCGUCCUUCGUGCGAUCCAAGUUCUUCUUAGAGGGACUGGCUGCGUCUAGCAGCACGAGAUUGAGCAAUAACAGGUCUG
rnacentral:rRNA from 1 species